AAGCUCUGAGGUGAAUUUUUCACGUUGAAUUGCAAAUUCGAAGAAGCAGCUUCAAUUCUGCCGGGGCUU
rnacentral:tRNA from 1 species